CAUAGCUUCAUAAAUAAAACAUUCUGAAGUGCUCUAAUACUAAAUAAAUUGGAUACAUAAAACUACAGCACUGAGCACAUGGCAAU